rnacentral:rRNA from 1 species
UCCGUAGGCGGUCUUAUAAGUCAGUGGUGAAAGCCCAUCGCUCAACGAUGGAACUGCCAUUGAUACUGGUAGACUUGAGUUCGUAUGAGGUAGCUGGAAUGGAUAGUGUAGCGGUGAAAUGCAUAGAUAUUAUCCAGAACUCCAAUUGCGUAGGCAGGUUACUAAUACGAUACUGACGCUGAUGCACGAAAGUGUGGGGAUCAAACAGGAUUAGAUACCCCUGUA